AACUCCCCACUCCUUCCUGCUCCUCAGCCAGGGAACUUGGAGAAUCUAGCCAGAUGCAGUGACAAGGCGCCAUCUUGGAAGACAACAGCUCUCACCAGACACCGGACCUGCUGGAGCCCCGGUCUUGGACUUCCCAGUCUCCAGAACUGUGGAGAAGAGAAGAGCAGCACACGCAGUUUCAAAUAGUGAAUGACUUUCAUCUGGAAAUGAGGCCACAAGAUGGAGACGGAGCGGGUUGCUCACCCAAGUUCAUGCAGCGCCCAUCUGACGUUCCCCCGGGAGGAGCUGCAGGGCCUUCUUUCGAGGAGGUGGCAGAGGGGCUUCCUGCGUGCAAAGGAGGGUCCCACCAGCCCUUUUGGAACCUCAGCCUGGUCCUCCAGAAUUUCACCUCAAACUACUGGAGUCUAGGAAAACCAUUAAAGGAAGAAAUUGAAGCUUAGAGAAGUUCUGUAAGAUGCUGAGGUCACACAGUAAUAAAGAGAUAAAUGUGUGUUCU
rnacentral:lncRNA from 1 species